rnacentral:tRNA from 1 species
GUGAAAAGGUAGCGCGGGUGCCUUGUAAGCACUAGAUUGCGAGUUCGAUUCCCGC